GUCUAUGGCCAUGCCAUCCUGAAGAAGCCCGAUCCCGUCUGAUCUCGGAAGCUAAGCAGGGUCAGGCCUGGGUAGUACUUGGAUGAGACACCGCCUAAGAAGACCAGGUGCUGCAGGCG
rnacentral:rRNA from 1 species